UACUGGAGGCUUGUAAAGUUGGACCAAUGCAGUGGAGAUUAGCAUGGCCACUACAAAAGGAUGUCAGGUCUCAUUGAGAAAAGGUCCAUUUUCUG
rnacentral:snRNA from 3 species